CUGGUGCCAGCAGCCGCGGUAAUUCCAGCUCCAAUAGCGUAUAUUAAAGUUGCUGCAGUUAAAAAGCUCGUAGUUGGAUCUGGGGCUUGAGGUCGCUGUCUAUCGUUUCGGCGAUGACGGUGAUGCUCAGCUCUGCUUGCCGGUGACUGUUGCGGUGUUCUUCACUGAGCGCUGUAGCAGCACGGCACGUUUACUUUGAAAAAAUUAGAGUGCUCAAAGCGUGCUUGUCGCUUGAAUAAUGUUGCAUGGAAUAAUGGAAUAGGACCUCGGUUCUAUUUUGUUGGUUUUCGGAGCUUGAGGUAAUGAUUAAGAGGGACGAACGGGGGCAUUCGUAUUGCGGUGUUAGAGGUGAAAUUCUUGGAUCGCCGCAAGACGGACUACUGCGAAAGCAUUUGCCAAGAACGCUUUCAUUAAUUAAGAACGAAAGUCAGAGGUUCGAAGACGAUCAGACACCGUCCUAGUUCUGACCAUAAACGAUGCCGACCAGCGAUCCGUAGUGGUUGCUUUAUGGACCCUACGGGCAGCCUCCGGGAAACCAAAGUAUUUGGGUUCCGGGGGAAGUAUGGUUGCAAAGCUGAAACUUAAAGGAAUUGACGGAAGGGCACACCAGGAGUGGAGCCUGCGGCUUAAUUUGACCCAACACGGGAAAACUCACCCGGUCCGGACACCGUAAGGAUUGACAGACUGAUAGCUCUUUCUUGAUUCGGUGGAUGGUGGUGCAUGGCCGUUCUUAGUUGGUGGAGUGAUUUGUCUGGUUAAUUCCGAUAACGAACGAGACUCUAGCCUGCUAAGUAGUGUUGCUAUUGUUAUAUGGUUGACACUUCUUAGAGGGACAAGUGGCAUUUAGCCACGCGAAAUUGAGCAAUAACAGGUCUGUGAUGCCCUUAGAUGUCCGGGGCCACACGCGCGCUACACUGGAGAAGUCAGCGUGUGUUAUCCAAGUCCGAAAGGACUGGGUAAUCCGUUGAACCUUCUUCGUGCUUGGGACUGUGGCUUGGAACUAUUCCACAUGAACGAGGAAUUCCUAGUAAUUGCAAGUCAUAAGCUUGCGUUGAUUACGUCCCUGCCCUUUGUACACACCGCCCGUCGCUACUACCGAUUGAAUGGUUUAGCAAGGUCCUCGGAUCGUGGCCGUAGGGGCACGCAAGUGUUUCUGCGGUUUGCGAGAAGACGACCAAACUUGAUCAUUUAGA
rnacentral:rRNA from 1 species